rnacentral:rRNA from 1 species
UUGUCCGGAAUGAUUGGGUGUAAAGGGCGUGUAGGCGGUUGAGUAAGUCUGGAGUGAAAGUCCUGUUUUCAAGAUGGGAAUUGCUUUGGAUACUGCUUGACUUGAGUGCAGGAGAGGUUAUCGGAAUUCCCGGUGUAGCGGUGAAAUGCGUAGAGAUCGGGAGGAACACCAGUGGCGAAGGCGGGUAACUGGACUGCAACUGACGCUGAGGCGCGAAAGUGUGGGGAGCAAACAGGAUUAGAUACCCUGGUAGUCCACACUGUAAACGAUGAAUGCUAGGUGUAGGGGGUAUCGACCCCUUCUGUGCCGCAGUAAACACAAUAAGCAUUCCGCCUGGGGAGUACGGCCGCAAGGUUGAAACUCAAAGGAAUUGACGGGGGCCCGCACAAGCAGCGGAGCAUGUGGUUUAA